CCUACGGGCGGCAGCAGUGAGGAAUAUUGGUCAAUGGACGAGAGUCUGAACCAGCCAAGUAGCGUGAAGGAUGACUGCCCUAUGGGUUGUAAACUUCUUUUAUAUGGGAAUAAAAUGUUCCACGUGUGGGAUUUUGUAUGUACCAUAUGAAUAAGGAUCGGCUAACUCCGUGCCAGCAGCCGCGGUAAUACGGAGGAUCCGAGCGUUAUCCGGAUUUAUUGGGUUUAAAGGGUGCGUAGGUGGAUUGUUAAGUCAGGUGUGAAAGUUUGCGGCUCAACCGUAAAAUUGCAGUUGAAACUGGCAGUCUUGAGUACAGUAGAGGUGGGCGGAAUUCGUGGUGUAGCGGUGAAAUGCUUAGAUAUCACGAAGAACUCCGAUUGCGAAGGCAGUUCACUGGACUGCAACUGACACUGAGGCUCGAAAGUGUGGGUAUCAAACAGGAUUAGAUACCCGGGUAGUC
rnacentral:rRNA from 1 species